rnacentral:lncRNA from 1 species
ACCAUCCCCGUUUACGACACUCCGAUUGGAAAACUCGGUGCUGCUAUUUGCUGGGAGAAUAGGAUGCCCCUCUACAGAACUGCUUUGUACGCCAAAGGUCAGCUCUUGAUGCAAUUUAGUUUGAGUGUUUGACAAAUGUAGCCUUUAAUAAAAGAUUCUAACACUUUUUUUUUUUUUUGGUGCGUUCAGGCAUUGAGCUUUAUUGUGCACCUACUGCUGAUGGUUCGAAAGAAUGGCAAUCGUCGAUGCUUCACAUUGCGAUCGAAGGUGGAUGUUUCGUAUUGUCGGCUUGCCAGUUCUGCCUUCGUAAAGAUUUCCCUGAUCAUCCUGACUACUUGUUUACCGAUUGGUACGACGACAAAGAGCCUGACUCUAUUGUUUCCCAAGGUGGAAGUGUUAUUAUUUCACCUUUGGGACAGGUUCUUGCGGGACCAAACUUUGAAUCAGAGGGUCUCAUCACAGCUGAUCUUGGUAAAAAUAUAUAUAAUCUUCUUUAGUUUUUAUCUUAGGCUAUAGAAAAGGAUAAUUUUUUUAGCUAAUCAUAUUUUAUUUUUGUCAUCAAGAUCUUGGUGAUGUAGCAAGAGCUAAGUUGUACUUCGAUUCGGUUGGACAUUACUCGAGACCAGAUGUUUUACACUUGACCGUAAAUGAGCACCCGAAGAAACCGGUCACAUUCAUUUCGAAGGUGGAGAAAGCGGAAGAUGACUCAAACAAGUAAUCGGUUGUGAUUCGUCAGUUCAUGUCACUCCUAUGAAGGAGUCAAGUUCAAAAUGUUAUGUUGAGUUUCAAACUUUUAUGCUAAACUUUUUUUCUUAAUUUUCGUUAAUAAUGGAAGAGAACCAAUUCUCUUGUAUCUAAAGAUUAUCCAUCUAUCAUCCAAUUUGAGUGUUCAAUUCUGGAUGUUGUGUUACCCUACAUUCUACAACCAUGUAGCCAAUUAUUAUGAAUCUGGCUUUGAUUUCAGUUGUGUUCUUUUCUUUUUUUUCUUUGCAUAUUUGCAUUUAGAAUGUUUAAUAAUUAAGUUACUGUAUUUCCACAUACAUUAGUUCCAAGAAUAUACAUAUAUUAAUUUAUUUUUCUUAAAAAUGUUUUGGAAUGACUAAUAUUGACAACGAAAAUAGAAGCUAUGCUAAACCAUUACGUAUAUGUGACUUCACAUGUUGUUGUUUUACAUUCCCUAUAUAUAUGGAUGGCUGUCACAAUCAGAAACGUGAUCGAAAAAAGACAAACAGUGUUUGCAUAAAAAGACUAUUUCGUUUCAUUGACAAUUUGUGUUUAUUUGUAAAGAAAAGUGGCAAAGUGGAAUUUGAGUUCCUGCAAGUAAGAAAGAUGAAAUAAAAGACUUGAGUGUGUGUUUUUUUCUUUUAUCUGAAAGCUGCAAUGAAAUAUUCCUACCAAGCCCGUUUGAUUAUUAAUUGGGGUUUGGUUUUCUUGAUGCGAACUAAUUGGUUAUAUAAGAAACUAUACAAUCCAUGUUAAUUCAAAAAUUUUGAUUUCUCUUGUAGGAAUAUGAUUUACUAUAUGAGACUUUCUUUUCGCCAAUAAUAGUAAAUCCAAAGAUAUUUGACCGGACCAAAACACAUUGAUCUAUUUUUUAGUUUAUUUAAUCCAGUUUCUCUGAGAUAAUUCAUUAAGGAAAACUUAGUAUUAACCCAUCCUAAGAUUAAAUAGGAGCCAAACUCACAUUUCAAAUAUUAAAUAACAUAAAAUGGAUUUAAAAAAUCUAUACGUCAAAUUUUAUUUAUGACAUUUCUUAUUUAAAUUUAUAUUUAAUGAAAUACAGCUAAGACAAACCAAAAAAAAAAUACUUUCUAAGUGGUCCAAAACAUCAAUUCCGUUCAAUAUUAUUAGGUAGAAUCGUACGACCAAAAAAGGUAGGUUAAUACGAAAUUACAAACAUAUCUAUAUACAUAGUAUAUAUUAUUACCUAUUAUGAGGAAUCAAAAUGCAUCAAAUAUGGAUUUAAGGAAUCCAUAAAAGAAUAAAUUCUACGGAAAAAAAAAAAAGAAUAAAUUCUUUUAAGUUUUUAAUUUGUUUUUUAUUUGGUAGUUCUCCAUUUUGUUUUAUUUCGUUUGGAUUUAUUGUGUCCAAAUACUUUGUAAACCACCGUUGUAAUUCUUAAACGGGGUUUUCACUUCUUUUUUAUAUUCAGACAUAAAGCAUCGGCUGGUUUAAUCAAUCAAUAGAUUUUAUUUUUCUUCUCAAUUAUUAGUAGGUUUGAUGUGAACUUUACAAAAAAAACAAAAACAAAUCAAUGCAGAGAAAAGAAACCACGUGGGCUAGUCCCACCUUGUUUCAUUUCCACCACAGGUUCGAUCUUCGUUACCGUCUCCAAUAGGAAAAUAAACGUGACCACAAAAAAAAAACAAAAAAAAAGUCUAUAUAUUGCUUCUCUCAAGUCUCUGAGUGUCAUGAACCAAAGUAAAAAACAAAGACUCGAGUUGAUAUGUCUAGUACUAAAGAUAUGUCAACUGUCCAAAACGCAACUCCUUUUAACGGCGUUGCCCCAUCCACCACCGUGCGAGUUACAAUCGUCCAAUCCUCCACCGUCUAUAACGAUACUCCUGCCACUAUAGGUAACCAAUCCAUUAAUUCAUCCUCUGACCUAUUUUUAUUUUUAUUUUUUGAUAUGUAAAAUUUAUCGAAAACGUUCCAUUUCAAUAUGUAGACAAAGCGGAGAAGUAUAUUGUGGAGGCGGCAAGCAAGGGAGCAGAGCUAGUGUUGUUCCCGGAGGGGUUUAUCGGUGGCUAUCCUCGAGGUUUUAGGUUCGGUUUAGCGGUUGGCGUUCAUAACGAAGAAGGGCGUGAUGAGUUUCGGAAGUACCAUGCUUCUGCUAUUCAUGUUCCUGGUAUUACUAUUUACUUCCAUUAUUUGUAUUCUUUUUAUUAUCAUCUUAUCUUGUAUUUUAUCCAUAAAAUGAUUUUUGAUACAUUUUUAACCAAUCAAUGACUUUGAACCAUAUCCUCAAUUAUUGCAUGCUUAUCCUAGGCCGAGUGUAUUCAAAGUAUACACCACCCGAUCUCGGAUCCAAGCCUACCAAAAAUUUGGAUAUGCGGAUCUAGAUGACAAUAUUUAUCCUGAUCUUUAUCUUUUAAAUGUAUAAAUUACUAUAUGUUACAUUAAAUUUUAUAAUUUUUACACCAAAAAAUAUAAUAUUAAAUCUCUUUAAUUAAAGAUUUUUUUUAUUUCUCCUUUAUUUGGUUGCUGGAUUAUGAUUUUUAGUUGGCUAUGGUUGGAGUCUUGGUGAUGUGUAUAAGUUUUGGACAAUUGAAUUUUAUUUGGAACAAAGUAAACUUAACUUUGAGGGAAAAUAUGUUUGAUUUCGAGUUCUCUUUUUUUUUGUCACGUUUAGAUGAAAUUUAAUUGGAACAAGCAUCUAAUUAAUGAGUGUUCUUGCUCUAGUUUAAAUUUAGUUGAGCACUCUCAAUAUCUUGGAACACAAAAUGACUCUUUUUGGUUUUUGUGAUGAAUCUUCAGGCCCUGAAGUAGCAAGAUUGGCUGACGUGGCUAGGAAAAACCAUGUGUACUUGGUAAUGGGAGCCAUAGAGAAGGAAGGGUAUACCCUCUAUUGCACAGUUCUUUUCUUUAGUCCACAGGGUCAGUUCUUGGGCAAGCACCGUAAACUCAUGCCCACAAGUUUGGAACGUUGCAUUUGGGGCCAAGGGGACGGAUCAACCAUCCCCGUUUACGACACUCCCAUUGGAAAACUCGGUGCUGCUAUUUGCUGGGAGAAUAGGAUGCCCCUCUACAGAACUGCAUUGUACGCCAAAGGUCAGCUUUUAAUGCAAUGCCGUUUGAAACAUCUAGGCUUUUACAAAAAAAUCUUACAAAGUUUUUUUUUUAUUUUUCGUUUUUGGUGUUUAGGCAUUGAGCUUUAUUGUGCACCUACUGCUGAUGGUUCGAAAGAAUGGCAAUCGUCGAUGCUUCACAUUGCGAUCGAAGGUGGAUGUUUCGUCUUGUCGGCUUGCCAAUUCUGCCAGCGUAAACAUUUCCCUGAUCAUCCUGACUACUUGUUUACCGAUUGGUACGACGACAAAGAAC